GCCUGAUUGGCUCAGUUGGUAGAGCAUGUGACUCUAGGUCUCGGGGUGGUGAGUUCAAGCCCCAUAUUAGGCA
rnacentral:tRNA from 1 species